UACGUAGGUGGCAAGCGUUGUCCGGAUUUAUUGGGUUUAAAGGGUGCGUAGGCGGUCCUAUAAGUCAGUGGUGAAAUACUCUAGCUUAACUAGAGGGGUGCCAAUGAUACUGUAGGACUUGAGUACAGAUGAGGUAGGCGGAAUUGACGGUGUAGCGGUGAAAUGCAUAGAUAUCGUCAAGAACACCUAUAGCGAAGGCAGCUUACUGGGCUGUAACUGACGCUGAGGCACGAAAGUGUGGGGAGUCAAACAGGG
rnacentral:rRNA from 1 species